rnacentral:rRNA from 1 species
UUUGGCCUACGGGGCGCAGCAGUGAGGAAUAUUGGUCAAUGGGCGCAAGCCUGAACCAGCCAAGUCGCGUGAGGGAAGACGGCCCUACGGGUUGUAAACCUCUUUUGCCGGGGAGCAAGCCUGAGCACGUGUGCCCAGGCGGAGAGUACCCGGAGAAAAAGCAUCGGCUAACUCCGUGCCAGCAGCCGCGGUAAUACGGAGGAUGCGAGCGUUAUCCGGAUUUAUUGGGUUUAAAGGGUGCGUAGGCGGAUUUUUAAGUCAGCGGUAAAAUGUCCGGGCUCAACCCGGGCCGGCCGUUGAAACUG